rnacentral:rRNA from 1 species
GAUGAACGCUGGCGGCGUGCCUAAUACAUGCAAGUCGAGCGAACAGACGAGGAGCUUGCUCCUCUGACGUUAGCGGCGGACGGGUGAGUAACACGUGGAUAACCUACCUAUAAGACUGGGAUAACUUCGGGAAACCGGAGCUAAUACCGGAUAAUAUAUUGAACCGCAUGGUUCAAUAGUGAAAGACGGUUUUGCUGUCACUUAUAGAUGGAUCCGCGCCGCAUUAGCUAGUUGGUAAGGUAACGGCUUACCAAGGCGACGAUGCGUAGCCGACCUGAGAGGGUGAUCGGCCACACUGGAACUGAGACACGGUCCAGACUCCUACGGGAGGCAGCAGUAGGGAAUCUUCCGCAAUGGGCGAAAGCCUGACGGAGCAACGCCGCGUGAGUGAUGAAGGUCUUCGGAUCGUAAAACUCUGUUAUUAGGGAAGAUCAAAUGUGUAAGUAACUAUGCACGUCUUGACGGUACCUAAUCAGAAAGCCACGGCUAACUACGUG